rnacentral:lncRNA from 1 species
GGUACGGAGCUCCAAAUCCCACGCAGCACUAACUUCGCAAGUGCAGGGAGGAACGGGGCCAGCAACAGCUCUUCCAUCAGUAAACACAAGCCAAGCAAGCGACGAGGAGGCUGGAGACGCCCUCACACCACCGACGCGGCCAGCGUCCUCUCCGCAGUACGGUCCCGGGGAAGCCUCGGACGCGGCCGCCUGCAGAACACAAGGCCGACGGCGACGAUCAUCGCUUUGCAGCUGCACCCUCGUUCUGUCGAGCCCGUGCCCGCCGCCAGACCCCCGGCAGCCCUCGCCCGCGCGGCCUCCCUGAGGCGCCGGCGCCCCCUCGCCCUCCGCACAGUGCCCUCCUGUCUCCCGCCGCCUCUUCCGAAGCGUGCCCGGAGCGGCCCGGAGCGGCCCCGAGCGGCGCCGUCGGGCGUGCAUCGGGACGGUCCUGGUGCGAACGGCGGGGUCCCGCCGGCCGCAAACCCGUGCCCCCUCACCGCGCCGUCCCUGAAAUGGCCGCCCAGCCGCGCGGGACUCCCCUCCUCCGCGACCCCCGCCCCCUCGGCUCCCGGGGGAGGCACACCUCCCGAACGGCGGCACCCCGCCGAGCCGGGGUUGCCCCGACCUCCGUGCCGCGGAGCCGCCCUGCUCUCCCCGGAACACGGCGAGGAGGGAGCAAGGGUGGAAGAUGGGGGAUCAACCGCGCCGCCGCCCGCGUCGGGGAGGCGGGGGCACCGCUUCUUGCGGGGCUGUGGGGGCGCCGCACACGCUCCCUCCUCACGGCGGGGAGGGUUAAUAAAGGCCGGCGACCGGCUGCCCGCGGCCGGGGGCGCCUCUCCGCGGCCCAGCAGUCACCGGCAUAGGGUCGCUCGCCACUCCGCGAGCCGCUCUGCCUCCCCGAGGUGCCGCCGCUGCCUCGGCGGGACUCGCCGGCGUGUGAGCCGCCGCGCGGAAGGAGCCGCUCCGCCUCUGACAGAGACGCGCCCCCUCCUCCCCUCCCCACCGCCCGCCCGCCCUCACCUCGAGCUGGCGCUGCCUCCCUGCUCUGCCGCCGGCGCCUCGCCCGUUCGCCACUGCGCCCCGCUGCUGUCCCCCUGGUGCCUGGCCCCGCCGAGGGGCAGGUGGCCAGCCCAGCCCUCUCCCCCGCUGCCUGCUGCGGCUGCUGCGUCUCUCGUCCCCCGCUGCAGGGAAGUCGCAGCGGCGAUUGCCAAGCGGGAGGAGAGGACAGGAGAGGAGUGGAGCCGCCGGCGGCUCGGGCAGCGCGCUGCGUCUGGGUCUCCGGGAAUGGACUGGGCUUCGUCCUGCGCCUCAACCUGCCCGUGGAGACGAGGGCGGUGA